rnacentral:lncRNA from 1 species
GCAGCUCUCAAAUAUUGAGUACAUAGACUUGAGUAGCAACAGCUCCUGCGAAAUUACAUCAAUUAAAUUACUAUAUAUAAGAACAAUUUAAUAAAUAAGAGCUUAAGACAAAACAGUGGAUGCCUUGCAACAUUAAAGACAUCUUGAUAUCUUAGUUGUGAUUCAAAUAUUUACAUGGAAGCAUUGAUAUAAAUGUGUGUGUAAUCUACAAAGAAUUCAAAAUUUGAACAUGUCGAGGAAAAAUAUCUUAUGUGAUCCUAGAUGACCCAAAGUUAGUUCCAAGGAUGCAAUCCCAUAGGUCUCAUCCUAAAUAGGCAGAUUGUUUAAAAAUCCUUUUGCUUCUUAAACGAGAUUAUCUCAGACAGGAAAGUGAACCCAAGUUUUCUAAAGUGGAAUGACCUAAAGAGGAAAGUAACUACAUCCUUAACUGCUUUCUUAAAUGGGAUUAUUCUAAAGAAUGAGUCAAGUUGGUUCAAAGAAAACUUAAGGCCCAAGUGAUGCUUGAUGGGCUUAAAAAAGUGAAAAAUAAGGAGAAAGAUCCAUUGUUGGCCCAAACCGAAUGAGGAUCAAGCCUUGACAAAAGGCAUCAAGGCCUCACGACCAAGAUGGGCCACGACCUAACAAUGCCACACUAAAAGGGAGCGAGCCAAACCAUUUUAUGUCCUUGGAGAGGUUUGCUAUAUGCUUACAAGCAUGCUUGUGCGGGAAGGACAUAUCACACACGUGGGUAGUCGUGUGCAUGGAAGCCACACAUGCGGACAGCCGCACGUGCAUGAGGAGUCAAACAUGCACAAGCCAUGCGUAUGCGGGAUGCUUUGUCUGCACAGGUGAAGCAUGCGAGCAAGGGACUUUGAUGCUGAGAUGGAGUGACUUUGAUCCUAAUUUCCACAUAUGCAUUUUAUGGCUAAAUUUCCAAGAAGAACUCUAUAGAAACUUGAAGUCUACAUGGAGGAUUAAAGCACAUGAAAAUUAAGGUAAAAGGGAGGGGAAUUAUCUAUAUAAUAUUUUAUUAAUUUUUAAUUAUUAUUUUAAUGUUAGAUUUUAUCCAUAGUAAUAUUCUAAUAUUAUUUUAGGAUUGAGAUUUAGAUAAUCUGAUAUUUUGGGUAGAAUUUUAGUAUUUGUAUUCGAGUAGAAUUUAUUUGGUGAAAGCCUAUAUAAAAGCUUCACUUUAAGCUGUAAUACAUGCACAAUUCAAUUAAGAGAAAAAUAAAAUUUAGCUUUUGUUGUUCAAUUAGCUUUUACUAAUUUAGAGUGUUCUUCAAGGAAGGUUCUUCAACCAGCUUGUUGAGUUGGAGAAUCUUGAAUCAACUUAUCAGGUAAGUCGUGGUAUCUUUUCAAUUCAUAUUUUUAUUUCUCACUUACCUUGAUAAGCUUUCAAUACAUUGACUAUGAUUUAAGUGGGAAUGUUUGAUUUAGGUAAAGCUAAGUAUAGUGGGUUCAAGAUCAAAGGUGUUUUUGAUCCUGUAGCUCCCCGCGUUAAUAUCAUAGGAACCAUUUCAAAGUUGCCUCAACAAUUUGACUGUAAUGGUUCAAAUAGGGAGUUCAUUUGUAAAACUCCCUCAGGUGUUCAAAAAUAAAAGAGAGUUGAUAUAGUAGAUUAUUAAUGAGUUGGGAUGUGAGAAAAUUUCAUAUGUGAGGGGAUAAUGAUUGACAUUAAUGAUACAAAAUCGUUAUGGAAAUCUUGAAUGCUAUUGGGAUUGUGAUUGAUAUUUGAUUGCAGAAAAUUAGCAACUGAUUUCAUUAUUACUUAGGUGUAUAUCUUGUAAUUAAUUAGGUGCAAUCAAUUACUUGAUCUAUUUCAUUUUUUUAUUAAAGUCACGUACUAUAAAAUGUGGGAUAGUUAUACAAUUUUUUAAUAGCAAAAAAAAAUUCUAAUUUUAAUUAUACUCUCAUGGUGUCAAACCUCAAAUUCAUCUAAUCUAGCCAUUAAUAUAAGAGAAUCAACAAAUGAUUGGUUACCACUGAAGAAAAACAGGUAUACUGAUGUGAUAAUAAUUGAGAAGCCUUGUGACAAUAGAAGGGUGGAAACAAUCAUGCAAUAGUGUGCUUUUAAGGCACACUAGGAAGUUUUCUAUAACUAAAAUUACUCAAAUAGGAUCCACCCAGGUCGAAGUCUAAGACCCAAAGAAAAUAAAUGGAACAGGACCUUGGCUUAAGAAAAAGAGGAAUUAGAAGAGACAAAAAACGAGGAAGUUAUUGGGCCUCAUGACUAAGAAGAGGCUCGACCCACGAAUUUUGCUCUAAAAGGAAGCCCAUAAUGUCAUUUGGGUGUGGGUAUUAAUUGAGUACACGUGUGUGGCCGUUCACAAGUGCGAGUGAAGGCACUUGCAUAUGCGAGAUUUCCACCUGCAUGGACAAGUGUGUGGAGCGUACGAGUAGUAGCAAUCGCAUGCCACAAUGGCGUACACAAUCGCACAUCUAGCCACCCGCCUGCGCAACUCAUGCACAUGUGCAGCUAGACGUAAGUGUAAUCCCAUGAGACCAAGUGUGCGUGCGAGGAGGAUCCACACGCCACCUGCAUGCGAUCUGCGCGCUAAGAGCUCGCAACCCGCGCGUGCAAACAUGCUAUACCCAUUUGAAGCACAAAAUUCCUACUUAAACUCUUAACCAAAUGCUUAGUGUAGCUUACUCUCCAAUAAAUCCUCUCUUCCAGCAAGCAAGGGACUUCUACAAAUAUUCCCAUGUGUUUAAAGUGCAAAAUUGUAGGAGAAUUUCUACUUAAAUUGGAAGUCCGAGGAANGUAAUUUGUAAUCCUAUUUCGAGUGGAAUUAGUAAAUAAAAGCUUAUAUAAAGGCUUUAGACCUUAGGUUGCAAACACAAUUCAAUUAUUCAAUAAAAUUCAAAAUUUUUGCUUUUCUUGAAAUUACUUUUGUUAAUUUUUGAGAGUUUGUGAAGUUUCUUCAAGUAAGAGAGCUACUGAAGACUUGUUGAGCCAAAGAAUCUGGAUUAACUUAUUGGGUAAGCCAUAAUGUUAUUCCUUAUUCUUUUUAUUUCGUUAUUAUCUUGAUUGUGCAUGCCAUAUAGGUGGGUGUAGUUUCAAAUAGGGAGGGUGAUUAGUGCCGAAUCCACCAAUAAUAAAAAUCCUAUGUAACCAACAAAAUAAAAUUGUAGUAGUGGUAAACAGAAUCAAAUCCUCAGGAAAUUGAGAAUCACUUUUCUUUUGUAACGAAGAAUGAAAAGUAAAGACGAGGGAUUUUUUUCUUUUUUGAGUUUAAAAUAAUAAAAAUAGAUGAACUACUAAGCUAGAUUUUAAAUAAAGAAACAGAAGAUGGUUGAAAAAAAUUAGAGAAACAACCAGAUGUAAGAAUGAUCCCAAUUAAUGAAGUAGAUAGAUUCCAGUUAUGAAAUUAAUCAUUGAUGCAAUGAUUGGUUUUGGUAAAGCAUGGUAAACCAGUUCUGGUUGUCGGCAACGUUUUAACAACUGAUUCUUCUUUAAUCCUAAAUCAACCAACAAAUGUUCGUAAGAUUUAAUUUAUUAACAUCCUUAAGAACUAGAAGAACCAAGUUCUAGUCGUUGUUCAACCGCAUGAGGCGCUCUACCAGAUUGCCUAUUCUCUUAGUUUAGAGACUAAUUUACCAUUUGGUAUUAGAGUAGCCUAAACAAUUAUGGAUUUAGGAUGUUUCGGAUGAUAGUAUGCUACUAUGUCACACGCCUAACGAGCCAUGUUCAAACAAUUAAAAAACAACAAAAAUAAUAUGUGCAGAGAAAUAAACAAAUACUAAUCUUUAAUAAAACUAGAAUUAAGACAAUCAAAUCUCACAAUACAAACUGGAAUUUUACUAAAUUUGUAACUAGGAAAGAAAAUUAUCAACCACUCAUGGUGGGAUUAAUACAGAAUAGAGCUUUUGACUAUUAAAAAGAGAAAGAAAGAAGAAAACCUCAUAAAGCUGUGAGUGUCGCAGUGUGCGAUAGUGAUGAUCAUUUUUCUCUGAUUUUCUGCUCUUUUUAAAUCCGAAGAGGAUUAUGAUUUUAUUUUUGCAAAGAUAAGGAUCUUUCACACUAAUCUCCGCUUUUUUCUANNNNNNNNNNNNNNNNNNNNNNNNNNNNNNNNNNNNNNNNNNNNNNNNNNNNNNNNNNNNNNNNNNNNNNNNNNNNNNNNNNNNNNNNNNNNNNNNNNNNNNNNNNNNNNNNNNNNNNNNNNNNNNNNNNNNNNNNNNNNNNNNNNNNNNNNNNNNNNNNNNNNNNNNNNNNNNNNNNNNNNNNNNNNNNNNNNNNNNNNNNNNNNNNNNNNNNNNNNNNNNNNNNNNNNNNNNNNNNNNNNNNNNNNNNNNNNNNNNNNNNNNNNNNNNNNNNNNNNNNNNNNNNNNNNNNNNNNNNNNNNNNNNNNNNNNNNNNNCUUUUGUCUUGCAUCAAAAUGAAUAAAAUAGCUUAAAUGAAAUGGCAAGCAAUUUAAUUAAGUACUAAAAAAUAGACAAUGAAGAUGUUGUUUUUAUGCUCUAUUAAACUCCCGCACACUUAUUUUGUGGUUGCCCUCAAACACUUCACAAUAUAAUCCAACGAGUCUUAACCCUACACCCUCAACUCUACUGCUCUUAAUAAUUUUUCCACAACUUGUAUGUUACAUUUCAAUCUUAAAUUUAAAAAACAGCCCCUACUAGCAGCUUUAGAAUUGAGUUUCAUAGAAUCACACCAAGGAAUAGCUAUUCUAAACGGUGUCUAAGCAUAAAAUGAAAGGUUUUACAAGUUAUUGAAUAUAUUUUUAUCUUGAAAAGAAUAGCCAACAACUGCUUCUCGUGCAAUAUCCACACAAAACCUGUCUAGACAUAAACUUUUAAUGCAAAUGGUUUUUUUUAAGAACAAAAAAUUAAAAGAAUUACUUCUCGUGCACUCUUUCACUUUCUUGAAUUGUCACUACUCUUUUGACACGAGAGCAAAUAUUUGUGAUGAAUGCACCCGUUUACUCAGUGGGUCAUCAUUUUAAGUGGCUAUUAACAUUACUUAUAAUAAAUUGACUAGCACUUUUGUGACUAUCUUGAAGCGUCAUCAACCUUUUGAUGUGAGAGUAAAAAUUUCUGAUGAAUGCACUGGGUUACUCAGCUGCUUACAAAUUCAUUUGACUAGAGGAGUACUUUAUGAUUCAUACUCUUCUUUUUUUACGAAUUUAAAUAUGCAAAUUCAGAUAGGUGGUUGUGUAAGUUCCCUCUGCAUUGGCAUUUUCUUCAGGACAAGAGAAAAUUAGUUGAAUGCAAUUCCUAAACAAGUUAUGUUAAGAUAUAUUACCAGAAACAGUUCUUCAUGGUGGGAAAAGAUGAAAAACAAGCUAAAAAUCUUAUAUGGUUACUGAGAGUGUAAUUUAUUUCUUGAAACAUCAUAGUUAAUAUGUUUUAGUAAAAAACCGUUGAAAGCGUAUUUGUGUGUGACUUGGGCAAAGCUAAAAGUGUACGUUAGCAAGUGUUCAAAAGAAAAAUGUAUCCAAAAUGAAAACUUGAAAGUGUAGUAUGUGCCUCCCCUACACUUAAAUGGCAUAUUGUCCUCAACGUGAUGCAAAUAAUAUACCAUGAAAACUAGAAAAGAAAAAAUGAAAAAAAAAACAAAAAAAGGAUAGAACACUCUCCUAGUGUUAUUGGCUGGCUGGUGGGAGAGAUUGGAGGUCAUCUGAUGUGAGGUCGAGGGGGGCUGCUUUCUUUGAUUGGGUGAGUAACUGGGUUAAUGCAUCAACCUUUAUGGUUAACUCUCAUAUUGACUGCUCGAGGUGGUUCAGGUGACUAUCGAUCAUUCGAACAUGCAGUAGUAUAUAGUUCAUGAGUUCUUUAAAUUCACCAGGUUGAGUGUUUAUGGCGGCAGAUUCUCGUUGGUCUCUCUUCUUGCUGCACACCCUUUGGUCUCUAGCACAGGUGGUCUGAGAAGCACAAAGUAGCAUACGCCAUCCUUGAGGUGCAGCAGACCCAUAACAUCUAAAGAGCCUAUGUCCAUAGGGAUUGGGGCAACCAGAAUGGCAAAGGUGGUGAGGCCGAUAGUGAGUCUAGUGAUGAUGGAUCCUAGGAUGAGAGGUUAUUGGAAGAAAAUAACAUUGGAGAACUAGGUGGCCAUCCAAAAGCCUAGGUUCACCCUUAUCUUGUGUAUUAUUCAUUAUAGGAAGUAAAACUCUGUUUUGGACAAGAUUUUGGUGCGUGCUUUUGCCUUGAAAAAGAAUAGGCCAAAAACCUAUGGAUGUAUUUCAUACUUUGUUCCUGUAGGUAGAGGUUUCUGAAUUUUUUAGGAUCAUAAGUGUCUAGUGGGUUAUCGCAGGGCUUGUUGGAGACAGUGAUGGGGUUGAAAUCCUCACAGAAAUCUAGAAUGGGUGUUCAUGGUAAGGGUCAGAGAAUCCUAAAGCACCAUUGAACUGGAUAGUGGAGUAGUUGAAGCAGGUGCCCAUCAAAUGGAAGGAGAUUAAGUUUUGUGUUUUUAGAGUGAAAUUUGUUUGUUUACAGAAUUGAAAAGUGGUGUAAAAUUUGUAAACUAGCUUCACAUAUACUGGUAGAGUAUGCUCAAAGUAGGGUGCCAAACUAGUACUAUUAAUUAGAUGUAAAACUUUAUUUUUGGUGUUAAGGGUUUUUAAGGUGGGUAGAUGAAUGCACUUACCUGGCACUAUGGAGAGUUUAGAGAUUUCUCCAUACCUUAUUUUCUCUGAUUCUUCAUUAAAAGUGAGUGGUCACACAGUUCGGAUUCAUUGGGUGGAAGAACGUGCUUGCCCUUUCAGAUCCGUGUCCUCUUUCGAGCCCUUAUGGGCUUUGUGUCUCCAUUUGUGGGGUUUUUUUACUUGAGGUUACUGUGAAGCUGACUGGUCAGUUACGUGGCUAGGUCCAACAUCCUGAGUGCCGAACCUCUUGGGUGGGGAGUCAGAAAUGUUAAUGACCAGGCUACUGCAUGGUUGUUCGGCCGUCUCGGAGCUGUUCAUGCCAUGUA